AAGCAAAUUACGUUACGAUCCAGUGGUUUACUUUUUCUCUGUUUCCCGUAAUACCUCUGAAUAUUAUGAAUCCGCAAUUGCCGUUUAAUAUUUUGGAGCUUCAUAUAUCGUGCUGUAGUACGGUGAGCACCGAUUUAUGUUGGUGAUAUUGUCUAUGACUGUCAUCGUUGAUGUUCCGUGAUUUUUGGGCUGGUGUUCUUACAGUCUGGAGCGGUCUGGAGCUCGUGCCCGUGAAUUGGAGCUGAAGGAAGUUUUCCGUCGCAUAGGUUACCUUUCAAUUAAGCAUAAAAA